CUUCAAUGGAAAGAAUCGGAGAAGAGGACAGUUGAGAGCAUGCUCAUGGUUUUUGCAGCCAGUUGAUAUUGACGUAAAUCCUGGCUAUCUUGAUAUUGUAACACAGCCAAUGGACUUUAGCACCAUUAAAAGCAAACUGGAGAGUAACCAAUAUUCGUCUAUGGAGGAGUUCGAUAGAAACAUGUUGCUUGUCGAGCAGAACUGCUACUCCUACAACCCUGCAGA